UCCCUUUUCAGGCAACACCCACCAACACAAAGUUUGUGCAUCAACCAGAAUCCUUUCCUAUCUAUUACGGUCCAUUCAUUUGAGGGAGCAAAAAUGAUCCUGUGGCUAAACCUGGUGUCCUUACUAGCAGUCCUCAGAGGUGUCCGAUCUGAGGUCCUGUUGGUGGAGUCUGGAGGGGAUGUGAGAAGCCCUGGAGGGUCCCUCCGUCUCACCUGCCAAGCCUCUGGAUUCACCUUCAGCAGCUAUGAAAUGAGCUGGGUGAGACAGGCUCCAGGGAAAGGCCUGGAAUGGGUGGCCUUUAUAAGUACAUCCUCAACUCCCAUUUACUACUCAGACAAAGUGAAGGGACGCUUCAUCAUCUCCAGAGAUGAUGCCAAAAGCCAGCUGUAUCUGCAAAUGAACAGCCUCAAAGCUGAAGACACAGCAGUCUAUUACUGUGCAAGAGAGUCACAGUGAGAGGAAGUGAAUCUGGAGCUUGGUAAAAACCUGCCAUUCAUCAGAGGAGCCCUGCAAGUCCAUUCAGCCCCAGAAGGCUGCCUUUUUCAAUGUGGGGAAACUGAGGAAGUGCCUGAUUGUCAGUAGGAAGAAA